rnacentral:rRNA from 1 species
UACGGGGGGGGGGCAAGCGUUGUUCGGAAUUACUGGGCGUAAAGGGCUCGUAGGUGGCCAACUAAGUCAGACGUGAAAAUCCCCUCGGCUUAACCGGGGGAACUGCGUCUGAUACUGGAUGGCUUGAGUUCGGGGAGAGGGAUGCGGAAUUCCAGGUGUAGCGGUGAAAUGCGCAGAUAUCAGGAGGAACACCGAUGGCGAAGGCAGCUCGCUGGGACGGUACUGACGCUGAGGCGCGAAAAGCGUGGGGAGCAAACAGG